rnacentral:rRNA from 1 species
GGGGAUGACGUCAAGUCAUCAUGGCCCUUACGGCCUGGGCUACACACGUGCUACAAUGGUCGGUACAAAGGGUUGCCAAGCCGCGAGGUGGAGCUAAUCCCAUAAAACCGAUCGUAGUCCGGAUCGCAGUCUGCAACUCGACUGCGUGAAGUCGGAAUCGCUAGUAAUCGUGAAUCAGAAUGUCACGGUGAAUACGUUCCCGGCCUU